rnacentral:rRNA from 1 species
GGAGAAAUUUCAGAGAUGGAUUGGUGCCUUCCGGAACUCUGAGACAGGUGCUGCAUGGCUGUCGUCAGCUCGUGUUGUGAAAUGUUGGGUUAAGUCCCGCAACGAGCGCAACCCUUAUCCUUGUUUGCCAGCGAGUAAUGUCGGAAACUCCAGGAAAACUGCCGGUGAUAAACCGAAGGAAGGUGGGGACAACUUCAAGUCUUCUUGGCCCUUACAAGUAGGGUUACCCACUUGCUACAUUGGCGCAUACAGAGGGCUGCCAACUUGCAAAGGAGACCAAAUCCCAAAAAUUGCUUCGUAUUCCGGAUUGAAGCCUGCACCUCAACUCCCUGAAUCCGGAAUCGUUAGAAAUCGUGAAUCAAAAUGCCACGGGGAAUCGGUUCCCGGGCCUUGUGCACCCCGA